CGUUCUGUGAGAAAACGACAGGACAGAGGCCUCACGUCAGGCCUGGACGUGGCCGCAGGGCCCGGCACCCUGAGCGGGGGUUCCUGCCACACUCCCCGUCACCCCCACCCUGGCAGGCCUGGCGAUCCCGCGGAGCACACACUGUCCUCCGGGGAUUACACGGCGGGAAUGCACCUCGGGAGAAGUGCUACAAACGCAAGCCUUUCACUGUGGAACAACUUCCACGCGGGGAAGACACAGGCGUCGUGCUAAGGUGCACCUUCUGACCCCCGCCUCACCCCCCGCGCCUCCCAUACUGGCACGCAGGGAGGGCCCGAGGCAGGUGAAGAGGUCUGCUUCGGGCACGGCUUGGUGAUACGCAGGUCUUCUCUUCAGGCGGCCCCCGAAUCUCCCUGUCUCAGCCAGCUCCCCACAAAGGGAGGCCAGGAUGGCACCCCUUCCCCGCCUCGGACACAGCACACCAAGACAGCACGCCUCCCACCUGCUCUCCUGAAGCCACGGUCACCCUCUCACACAUGCACGUUCCCCAAUGGCUCUUUGUCUCUAUCUCCCUCAGGCUCCAACUGCCUGCAGCCAGAGCUGGGAAGGGACAGGGAGGCCAGUGCCUCAGUGCCCCCUGCGCAUGGCACAACCAAGGCUUCACACUUGAGCCAGAGGCUGCUUCAGCUCGGCUCCAGUGGCCACACCCCAUGGAUGCAAAUGAGACGCCUUCGCCCCAGUCAGCAGCUCUGCCUUCCCAGGGAGGCUCAGGACAGAGGCCGGGGGUCAAGUCCCGCAAAACCCGGCCGAGACAGAGCAUCAAACGUGCGCCUGCCGUGUACGGGACACCGCAUCAGGCAUUUUGCAUAUGCGACCCAACCUUCACAACCGAGUGCGGCAGCACGGUCACGACUGACAGUCUGCAUGGGGUGGCCAAGGGUCCACCACAGCAGCCCACAGCCCUGGGUUGCAGCGGCCUUCCUGGACAGAUUUGUUACUUGCUCACACUGCAUGCUUUGUGGUUGUGACAUGUUCUCAUAGCUGGCCCCAGAAACCCGGGUGAUAGGGCUGCUGCCCUGUCACAUCAGUCACCAUGCCAAAGGGAGAGGGGAGGACUGGAAAGUGUAGCCCCGAGAGCGCCAGGAGGUGCCAUCUUGCCACAUGCCCACUACUUCGGCAGUUCAGACGAGAAACAGAAGCUCACAGGUUACUGCUAAGGAAGCAGCACCCAUGCCGUCCCAUCCAAUCGCCACCACAGCCCUGGGGACAGUUACACUUACAGGCUAGGAAACCAGGCCCAGAGAUGCGAGGAACUUGCCCAAAGCCCCAUGGGAGUGGUGAGCAGAGCCCAGGGCUCCAGCUCCAGGGUGUUCCCGCAACUACACUCUAGGACCUAGUCUCGAGGCUGGGAAGGGCUGGCAUUCAAACCCAAGGCCCCCCUUCCCCGCACCAAAGGGGUCCCAGGCCUGCGAAGCUUAGCCCCAAGUUUGCCACCAGGACACUGCCCUCUCCCUCCGCCCCAUGGAGCAGCCUUUCUCACCAGCCUCUGUGACACGCCAGUGACAUCCAAAGAGGAUUUCGCCUCCUGCCCCAAGACACCCACUGCAGGCCAUGAGCUCAGCUCUCUCCUGAGCGGAGUGGCUAACGGUGGGCACUCUUGGCUCACUCACUCUCUGUGUUCAGAUGCAGACGUGCUUGAGAAAGGCCACCUUCGGAAGGACCUGACGAGCUCCCAGGACUUGUUCAGCUACUCAAAUACCAAGCAUGGAAGUGGCCAGCCCACCACCAACUUAGUAUGUUUCCAAAGAGAACCUGUCUUGCCGAGGAGAGAAGCCAGAGAGCAGAAUUCUUCUAGAGGGACUGUUCCAGCCACACGCCCAGCCUGGGAAGGGGCAAACAAGGCCACAAAGGUCACGGCCCAUCUCUCCACCCAGAGUCCUGCCUCCUCAGUGACAGCUCUGCCGACCAAGCAGAGACACACCCAGGAGCUCCAUCGGAAAAGACAGCAGCAACAAGAGGAGCCAGACAUGCAAGUUCCCAGACUCUCAUAACACAGGAUUUUCACAGGGAGGGGUGGUAUGAAAAGUAACAGGGGUGGGCGAAUUUAAAAGCUUUUGGGCUGGGAAGGUGCUGAAAAGCAAAGGUUGAGAAAUGCUGCAAACAGAAGAACUCUUUUUACUUUGGCUUAUCAUUUCCAGCUCUCAUCCACAAACAUGUUGAAAUUUCUGCAUUUGGGCCGGGGGUGUGUAGCUCAGCAGUAGCCCAUCCACUUACUAUAGGUGAGGCCCUGGGUUCAAUUCCCAUAGGACACAUUUUUAAAAAGUAAAUAAAAAUUAAAUUGUUGCAAUUACAGAA